rnacentral:rRNA from 1 species
AUUGAACGCUGGCGGCAGGCCUAACACAUGCAAGUCGAACGAGUGGCGGACGGGUGAGUACUGUCUGGGAAACUGCCUGAUGGAGGGGGAUAACUACUGGAAACGGUAGCUAAUACCGCAUACCAUCGGAUGUGCCCAGAUGGGAUUAGCUAGUUGGUGGGGUACAGGCUCACCUCGGCGACGAUCCCUAGCUGGUCUGCGAGGAUGACCAGCCACACUGGAACUGAGACACGGUCCAGACUCCUACGGGAGGCAGCGGGGGGUAAUAGUGCACAAGGGGCGCAAGCCAGAUGCAUCAAUGCCGCGUGUAUGAAGGAGGCCUUCGAGUUGUAAAGUACAUUCAGCGGGGAGGCGUUACCCGCAGAAGAAGCACCGGCUAACUACGUGCCAGCCGCCGCGGUAAUAC